CCGAGUUGUAAUUUGCAGAGGAUGAUUUUGGCGAGGUGCCUUCCGAGUUCCCUGGAACGGGACGCCACAGAGGGUGAGAGCCCCGUCUGGUUGGACGCCGAGCCUAUGUAAAUCUCCUUCGACGAGUCGAGUAGUUUGGGAAUGCUGCUCUAAAUGGGAGGUAUAUGUCUUCUAAAGCUAAAUAUUGGCCAGAGACCGAUAGCGCACAAGUAGAGUGAUCGAAAGAUGAAAAGCACUUUGAAAAGAGGGUUAAAUAGUACGUGAAAUUGUUGAAAGGGAAGCGCUCAUGACCAGACUUGGGCCCGGUGAAUCAUCCAGCGUUCUCGCUGGUGCACUUUGCCGGGCUCAGGCCAGCAUCAGUUUGCCCCGGGGGAUAAAGGCUUUGGGAAUGUGGCUCCUCCGGGAGUGUUAUAGCCCAUUGCAUAAUAUCCUGGGGCGGACUGAGGUUCGCGCAUCUGCAAGGAUGCUGGCGUAAUGGUCAUCAGCGACCCGUCUUGAAACACGGACCAAGGAGUCGUCUUCGUAUGCGAGUGUUCGGGUGUAAAACCCCUACGCGUAAUGAAAGUGAACGCAGGUGAGAGCUUCGGCGCAUCAUCGACCGAUCCUGAUGUUCUCGGAUGGAUUUGAGUAAGAGCAUACGGGGCCGGACCCGAAAGAAGGUGAACUAUGCCUGUAUAGGGUGAAGCCAGAG
rnacentral:rRNA from 1 species